CCAAUACAAAUUUAAAGAAGAAGAACAUUACGUGAUAUAGCUACUACCUGAAGAAGAAAUUAUACAUUUGGACAGUGACAGUCUUUGCUGAAGGCUGUUGGGGAGGAAGUGGUUGGGUGGUGGUUGGAAGAGUGCGCGUGUUUGAAAUGGUAAAGCUUCUUGGUAGCUACUGACAAAGAAGAACAUGAAGACAAAGCAGCUGCUUUACAGCGUGGGAUGCUCUACAUUCUGAGGGAGACAUGAGGUGACUCUAUAGCUGACUGAACUGAAGACAGAAUCUCAACCAUGGUGAAGCGGUAUUACUGUGACUACUGUGACCGGCCCUUUCAGAACAACAUGCACAACAGGAGAAAACACAUGUACGGUGUUCAACAACACAGAUCUAAAAAAGCCUGGUUUGACCAUUUCAGAGAUACAGCAGCUAUCCUGUAUGAUGAACGGACUAAGAAACCAUGCAGGAGGUUUCUAAAUACUGGUAAAGACUACAAUUAAAGAUACAAGGAACAUGUCGUGUGAAUUAAAGACCCUUACGAUUUAUCUGUGUAAUGCUUAUAUUUUUGUCCUUUGCAUCAGGCCAGUGUGUGUUCGGCAACAACUGCAGAUUCUCUCACAUGUCAGAGGGACAUGGAGAUCAAGCUGAUCCUAACUGUUAUAGGCCUAUUUCUAUUUUGACCUGUUUAUCAAAAGUGUUGGAAAAACUUGUCAAUAAUCAACUGACUGGCUUUCUUGACGUCUAUAGUAUUCUCUUGGGUAUGCAAUCUGGUUUCUGGAUGUGUCACUGCAACCUUAAAGGUCCUCAACGAUGUCACCAUUGCCCUUGAUUCUUAGCAAUAUUGUGCUGAUAUUUUUAUUGACUUGGCCCAAGCUUUUGAUACGGUAGACCAUUCCAUUCUUGUGGGCCGGCUAAGGAGUAUUGGUGUCUCUGAGGGGUCUUUGGCCUGGUUUGCUAACUACCUCUCUCAAAGAGUGCAGUGUAUAAAGUCAGAACAUCUGCUGUCUCAGCCACUGCCUGUCACCAAGGGAGUACCCCAAGGCUCAAUCCUAGGCCUCACGCUCUUCUCAAGUUACAUUAACAACAUUGCUAAGGCAGUAGGAAGCUCUCUCAUCCAUUUAUAUGCAGAUGAUAGUCUUGUACUCAGCUGGCCCCUCGCCGGAUUUUGUGUUAAAUGCUCUACAACAAAGCUUUCUUAGUGUCCAACAAGCUUUCUCUACCCUUGACCUUUGUUUUGGAGGUGUUCAGAACAAGGUUUGGUAAGAAGAAUGACCCUUUUCCCACAGGUGUUAUUACUACAUCUGAGGGUUUAGAGCUUGAGGUAGUCACCUCAUACAAGUACUUGGGAGUAUGGCUAGACGGUGCACUGUCCUUUUCUCAGCACAUAACAAAGCUGCAGGCUACAGUUAAAUCUAGACUGGAUUUCCUCUAUCAUAAUCACUCCUCUUUUACCCCAGCUGCCAAACUAACCCUGAUUCAGAUGACCAUCCUACCCAUGCUAGAUUAAGGAGACAUCAUUUAUAGAUCGACAGGUAAGGGUGCUCUCGAGCGGCUAAAUGUUC